rnacentral:snRNA from 1 species
GGAUGUGAGGGUGAUCUGGCUGCGGCAUCUGUCACCCCAUUGAUCUCCAGGGUUGAUUCGGCUGAUCUGGCUGGCUAGGCGGGUGUCCCCUUCCUCCCUUACCGCUCCAUGUGCAUCCCUCCUGAAGCUGUGUGCUCGGUGGAAGAGGACGACCACCCCAGAUAGAAGGAGUGUACUGAUCUUCAGUCAAGGGUAUUACGAUAGCUGCGCUCCCCUGCUAGAAACCUCCAAACAAGCUCAAAUAAUACUAGGAAACAAAUAAAACAAUAUAAAUUGUAAAGAUAUAAGCAACAUGGUU